UACGUCUGCGCCGAGGCCGGUGUGCACCGACACUGCAGGCCCAGCCGCCGCCAUUCGGGCCCCCGCAACACCGCCGAAAAGGCCCAUCUCCCCUGUCUCUCUACGACUACGUCUGGAUUAGGCCGCGCUCGUGACUAUAGCGCGUAUUUUUCGUAGAGAAUCAAUGAGAAGAAUGCUGGCUCUGAGUCGACCAAAGCAAGAGAGAUAUAUUUGAGAUCACAGACUUUUGGGACUAUUAUAUAAAAAUCCACAACGAAACAAGAUGAUACAGAUGAAAUAAUUAGUAUAAUAAAAGCAGCUUAUAUGAUAAACAUAUAAAAAACGUCGUUAAACCAUGGGCGCUGAUUGUGCAGUUAAUUCAUGAACACAGAGAAUCGUAAGGUGGCGAAACGCGCCUUAACUACCGCCUUUACUUCUGGCCCUCACGGUGCACCUCACCACUCACUCUCUCAAGAUCAAGGUCAACUCUCGGGAGAUGACUGGACUCUUUAAGCGACGUACCUUUUCUUCGUUACCCGUUACGUUUCUCACUCCGGCUCACAUACCGCAGCCUGCUUACGGAAACACUCGCGCGAGUAAUAACGUGCGUAACGUCGACUAAGGACUUUAGCACGCAAUACUGUGAACAAGACUAUAACGUGGCAAUCGUGAAUUGUAACGGAACGUAUUAUUGCGCUAAAUUGUCCGUGAGUUCUGUGCGUCAUCAUUACUACAGUGAAAAUUCUAAUAAUCAUGGCGACCAAGGUAACAAUAUGAGUCACUUUGUUGUUUUAGAUAAGAAACCCCCAAAAUCAAAUGCAACAAUUGCAUCGGUGACUGUUAAAAGUGUUUGCGAAUAUAUCUCUGAUAAUGUAUUUAUAAUUAUUACGAAAAGAAAAUAAACUGCUCAAAGAGCACAAUAUUUCUUUUUUUUUUUUAACAAGAAGUGAUUCUUGGAAAAUGGAGUGAUAAUAUGAAACAAGUAUGAAAAUAAAAGAAUUUCCUAAGAAAAUUGAGACCUGACGUACAAAACAAGUAACUUGAAUAAUACAAAUUGUAUUCAGUGAUCGUUUGCAAACUUGAACACGGUUUAUUAACAAAUAAUUUGCGGUAAUCUCGAUUAGGCGGAGCACUGUAUUACCAGCGACAAUGAUGCUGAGUCUGAUUCUCGCUUGAAACUUUCUCCAAAACGAUCAUUAAGUGCCACAGCAACGGCUGUGGCGUAUCUAAUCCCCAACGCACCUACACAUGCUCCGUGCACGAUUUAACGGAUUUAUUAUCUACCUCGAUGUUAUAUAGUGCGUGGGCAGCCAUCGUCACGUCGACGUUACCUUCGUGACGCAGCUUGAUAUAGCUUUAUAUUUCCGAGUGAUUCGGUAAGCCUGUUCAACGCCUGUUUAACGAAUAAAGGGUAGCGUAUAUAAUAUAUAAUUUUGCAUUAUAUAUAUAAUGUAGCAUAUCACUGUUAUAUUAAAUGAAGUACAUUUUAUUUCGAAUAUGGGUAUCUUAUAUUUUCCUUCAGAAAAAUUAGAUUCCGUAUUUUUUACAAUGUUGCGUAUAAUGAAAUAAUAUGUUCUCUUCAUCGAUUCUCUUAAAUCUUAAUUAUCUGAGGAAUUAAAAAUUACACAGAGCAUUCUUCUAGAAUACAUCGAAAACGUUUGCAGCAACUCUAGUCUAUGACAUCGAUCUUUUCUUUAUUCCAAUAAUGGUAAUUCCUUAUGAUUUCCGCGUAUCUGGCGACGUUAAAAACUCUCUUUGAAGGAAACACAAGCGUGGUGAAACGUGCAACGUCGUUUGGUGCGAGGCAAGGGUUAAUUGUAUUAUUUAGAGGCAAAGUGAUUUGUGGCGGGAGGAAACGGCGAGCAAACGAGUUUCCAUAUAUGGCGGCGGGUUCACCUAUAUAUCCGUAGUUCGUCUCGUGAAAGUUGAGCUGUGUACUCAACGUAUUCUGCACCCACGUAGAUAUGUUUGAUCACUAUCGGGCAAUAUUUUAAUGACAGGUUUCUUUUGCUACAACAUUUUUUAUAGUAAAAAUUUUGAUAAAAAAGCUUUAUUAUGAAGAAAUCUGUAAAAAAUAGAAAAGAUUCUUAUAGAUUCUUAUAGACAAACAGAGAUUCAUUUUAGUUUAAUUGUAAACAUAGAUAUUGUUUAAGUGGAAUAUUAAUUCAGUACUUUGUUACAAUUUCGAUAAAUGAUAAAUUUCCACUGUUUCAAAUUUCCGUUCAGCUAUCAAUAGUGAAAUUUGGCAUCGUUAAAGUUCAUGUAUUUUCGGAGUUGAGGUCGUGAACCUAUUUUCUUCGCAGAUAUUUAAAGAUACCCGCACGAGAGAAGUAAUUUCAAGAAAGUUCCUGAAAAAGAUACUCUAAAAACAUUUUUCACUAAUAGUGAGCUACUUCGUAUUUUAUUGCGCCAAUACUCGCCAGAUACUGGCAUCAAAGCGUAGCUUGCUUUCUGGUUAGAUGGUUUCUGAUACAAACAUGUAGAGCUCAUGAAAUCGUACGAUAUUUAUGGAGUGCAAUGGUUUGUAUAAUGAGUCGAUACUAGACGCUUAGUUACGUCUAUCAAUUUAUUGGAAAAUAAUGUUUGCUCUUAAAAAAUACUUAAUAUAUUUGUCACGUAUUUAAAAGCUUAAAUUUGUGUGCCGAGAUAGCAAUGUAUCCUCCACACGAAGAUACAUACAUUCGCCAUUCCAAGUAUUCGGCAUGAAUUCAUCUUAUAUAUUCUGGUGGGAUUAGAAUUGACACUUUUCAAACCUUUCAUAAUUAAAUGCUGCUGAAUGCGCGAAAGAAAAAUUUUCUAUACGCCAGCUGACAUGUCUGUGCGCGCAAAUGCAUCGAUCAUUACUUGAAUUGCAGAAACUGUUAGAUUUUUCUUCGUUCAAUGCUUCAGUUCCUUAUCGUCCAGAGUGCUUGGUACAACUGAGAAAUUUAAAAACUCGUAUAUCAAGGCGAAACUCCACUUUUGAAACUUCCGUCUUCUAAUUACUUCCACCAGGCCUGUUGUGCAACGAGCUCGCUGAAAAUAAACCUAAACGGAUUUCGCAUGCUCUUUCCUCUCUCGUUCAAUAAAGCUGUCGAAUUUCGUGGUAGCAGGACAGCUCUGUUGACAAACGAUAUACUCGAGCCGCAUUGUCAGACGGAUCGAUUGGCGCUCGUCAACCUGUAAAUAGAAUUGAUAAAGCGUCCAGUCAUUCCUGACGAUAGGAUGACUUUGCCGGCGUCAUUACUAGUGGCAUCGCGUGUGCGUGCUUCUGCGAUGAUACACUCGAAGUUUCUCAGGCCAUUGAAACGCGUCCCUCAUUCAACCACGGUGACUCGAUUAUAGUAUUCUGCGAUUCGAACAGUGUGCAAUGUAACGAGAAUUUGUGCUUCCCACGACGAUACAUAGUUCGGUAUUACAAGCAACAAUCGUCAUCGAUCUCAUUGUAAGAAUUAGUUCAGAAUCUUAUAUCUACUUGAACGCAACACCUUAAUCUAGUUAAUCUUAUAUAUUAGGCAUACAGCGAAGCAGAUGUUCACUUCUUCAGGGAAACAUUUUCAGGCAUGUAUAUUUUAUUGUACAGUUAGCAAGUUAAAUUUUGCAAAAAGAUACGUGAACGUACCCGUAGGCGUUACCCACGUUUCGGACAUAACUCACAGCAAGUCCUUGGCAUUAAAUAUGUAAAUGUCCAGGCGAUCGGCAACGCGGGCGUUUAAUUCGUCGGUGAAUUGCCAAUCGCGCGGGCAUCUCGUCAAUUGGAUUUCGAAUGGCGUUCCAUGAAAUCAUUGGCCGGUAAUUAGGUUGCGCGCAUAAUGACGGCAGCCAGACAAACAAGGUUCGUUUGUGCGCAAGAGGCGGACGCGACGUUCGAUUAAAUUAUUAUUAAAGGUUGAUUCGUGCAUUUGUGCACGCUGCAGGCAUCAUUUACGCGGAUAAAUUUACGAUCAGUCGUUGAAACGUAUGAAGAAGAUGACGUUGUCGCUCGGUCAGCGUGAAAGAGCACAAUGAAAUCAAUAGAAAAAUUAAUUGGCGCUCAAAGAAAGAAACAAUCAAACGGAUUUUGAAUGUUGUUUGAUAUAUGUUGUUGCUGUUCAUGAUCACAGUAGUUGUAUUAUGAAACGAGUUUCGUGAGAAUUUGAUGAAACUCGCAGUACAUAUGCAUUGAGAUAUUAUCUAACUGCUUGUGCAAUCAAAAAGAGAUUGUCCAUUCGAAAGUUAAGAUAUUUGCAAGAGUCGACACUUUUUAUAUAUUCCUUGAGGCGCUAACGUGAUAUUUUUAACUUCUAUUUUUUUAAUAUUUUCUAAACUAUAUAGAAAAACUGCUAUGAUAUUAAAGGUUGAUAUAUAGAUGUUACACACAUUAUAAAUUUUAAAUUUACUGAUCAUUUUGUUUUCAAAAUACAAAAGUGGAAAGUUCAUAAUUUAUAGUAAUACUUGAAAUAUACAUAUUCACAUAUUUAAAUACUUAUAUAUCUCUUAUGGUCCGUUUAUUGGAUGAAUAAAACUGAUGAAUAAGUCAAGCGCUCAUUAGAAAAAUAACGAAAUACUAGUUUUGUCAUGUUUAUAAUAUUGUGUAUACAAGGCGAUUUAAAACAAUUUUUUAUCCUUAAAAAUACGAAGUCCUGACAAAAUUCUAAGACAACUUUUUAUUUUAUAAAACUUGUCCAAGACGUAUUUUUUAAGUUAUUAGCAAAAAUAGUUUGCCUAUCACGAGUCAGAUACACGAAGUAGGCAGGAGCGACACAACUCACCGUCAGACACGGGCACUACAAUGGAAUGCUUGUUGCAGUUGUUCGCUACAUACAAGCUACAUGCAAAUAUUCACUGUCAGCAUAGAAAUCUAUAGUUUAUGUUACGUAUACUAAAGAUUUUUAUAACUGGUAAUAAUUUCGAAAAACACAAUUACAAUAAUACGCGCACACACAUACAAGCACGUUCUGCCUCUUUGUCUCUCUCUUUCUUUCUCUUUCUUCUUUUUCUGUCUUUUUCUCACUCACUCACAUUCAUGCACACACUUGAAAUAAGUAAUUUUCAUUAAUAAGUACAAUUAAUCACUGUCAAUUAUUAUCGAUGAAUUAUUCGGUGUCUGAUAAUCCUUGGAAGAAAUAUAUAACCAAACUUACAUGUUUCUUAAAAAAAUUAUCAGUCACGAACCUAAAAGCUAUUCUACAAUUGCGUAAGCAUGAUCGUAAGCGAUUUGUUUAGGACAACUAAUCAGAAUAAAGCAAUAAGUGAAUAAAACAUUCUGAUUAGUUAGCUUUUACUUCACGUUAGCGCCCGCGUUUGACGGUAAGUUGCGUCGCCCCUACUUAUCUCCUAUAUCCAAUUCGUGAUAAGCAAACUGUUUUU